rnacentral:rRNA from 1 species
UACGUAGGGUGCAAGCGUUGUCCGGAAUCAUUGGGCGUAAAGAGCGCGUAGGCGGUCUGUUGCGUCGGCUGUGAAAACCCGGGGCUCAACCCCGGGCCUGCAGCCGAUACGGGCUGACUAGAGUUCGGCAGGGGAGACUGGAAUUCCUGGUGUAGCGGUGAAAUGCGCAGAUAUCAGGAGGAACACCGGUGGCGAAGGCGGAUCUCUGGGCCAUUACUGACGCUGAGGCGCGAAAGCGUGGGGAGCGAACAGG